rnacentral:rRNA from 1 species
AUUGAACGCUGGCGGCAGGCCUAACACAUGCAAGUCGAGCGAGCGGCGGACGGGUGAGAAAUGUCUGGGAAACUGCCUGAUGGAGGGGGAUAACUACUGGAAACGGUAGCUAAUACCGCAUACCAUCAGAUGUGCCCCGAUGGGAUUAGCUAGUAGGUGGGGUAACGGCUCACCUAGGCGACGAUCCCUAGCUGGUCUGAGAGGAUGACAAGCCACACUGGAACGGGUACACGGUCCAGACUCCUACGGGAGGCAGCGGUGGGGAAUAUUGCACAAUGGGCGCAAGCCUGAUGCGGCCAUGCCGCGUGUGUGACAAGGGCCUUCGGGUUGUAAAGUACGUUCAGCGGGGAGGCGUUACCCGCAGAAGAAGCACCGGCUAACUCCGUGCCAGCAGCCGCGGUAAUUC